rnacentral:rRNA from 1 species
UGCCCUUAGUAACGGCGAGUGAAGCGGCAACAGCUCAAAUUUGAAAUCUGGCUCUCGGGCCCGAGUUGUAAUUUGUAGAGGAUACUUUUGAUGCGGUGCCUUCCGAGUUCCCUGGAACGGGACGCCAUAGAGGGUGAGAGCCCCGUCUGGUUGGAUGCCAAAUCUCUGUAAAGUUCCUUCGACGAGUCGAGUAGUUUGGGAAUGCUGCUCUAAAUGGGAGGUAUAUGUCUUCUAAAGCUAAAUACCGGCCAGAGACCGAUAGCGCACAAGUAGAGUGAUCGAAAGAUGAAAAGCACUUUGAAAAGAGAGUUAAAAAGUACGUGAAAUUGUUGAAAGGGAAGCGUUUAUGACCAGACUUGGGCUUGGUUAAUCAUCUGGGGUUCUCCCCAGUGCACUUUUCCAGUCCAGGCCAGCAUCAGUUUUCGCCGGGGGAUAAAGACUUCGGGAAUGUGGCUCUCUUCGGGGAGUGUUAUAGCCCGUUGUGUAAUACCCUGGCGGGGACUGAGGUUCGCGCAUCUGCAAGGAUGCUGGCGUAAUGGUCAUCAACGACCCGUCUUGAAACACGGACCAAGGAGUCGUCUUCGUAUGCGAGUGUUCGGGUGUCAAACCCCUACGCGUAAUGAAAGUGAACGCAGGUGAGAGCUUCGGCGCAUCAUCGACCGAUCCUGAUGUUCUCGGAUGGAUUUGAGUAAGAGCAUACGGGGCCGGACCCGAAAGAAGGUGAACUAUGCCUGUAUAGGGUGAAGCCAGAGGAAACUCUGGUGGAGGCUCGCAGCGGUUCUGACGUGCAAAUCGAUCGUCAAAUAUGGGCAUG